AGAAAAUAAUGGAAACAAUAAACAUUCUUAAGAGGAAAGCUGAUUAAAUUGUGGUACAUCCAGGGAAAACGGUGCCCUAUAGUGAGAUUCCCAGGAAGCAUCACUUUUCCUGAUAAGGACUACGAUGGCUGAGACUGAAUGCUUACUCAUGCUGGUGGCAGGUCCUCCACUCAGGGGUCAGCAGGAACUGCAUUGAAUUCCCUGGGAAACAUGCCUCUGUAUCGCUGUCUUCAGGCUCAGGCUCCACCUCUGCACUGAGUUCACACAGAUAUUUCAAGCAGCAUCCGCCAGGCAACAUUUCUAUGGCUGGAAAAGUUCGACAGGAAACUUCAAACUACCACUAGAGAAAAACACGGACCAAGCUGACAGCAUGAAAACAGAAAGGAGAGAAAGAGAAGGAGGGAGAGAGGGAGAAAGGGAGGGAGGGACAGAGAGAGGCUACUUGGGGCUGCUAUUUGGGGAGCAACUAUAGAAAUGAUUCCUGGCAGUGAGAAGAGCAGACCUCACAUAGUCAACAAGUGCUAUGAAGCACUUACUAUUGAAGUCCAAGUGCUGCAAACAGAAAAACUGCUGCCUCCCAAACUGUGUAAAGUUUGUCAAAGAAGAGCACAAGCCAUCUGUGAAGAACCUGGUACAUGUUUAAGAAGCUCACUCAAUAAUACAGAAUCAAGAAGAUGGGAUAAGGGGCAGCUCAGAGACGCUCCUCUCCACAUCGGACAAGAGGUUCCAGAAGUAGCAGUGGGGAGCAGCUGAGGCUUCCAAAGACCUCUCCCAUCCCUCGUCCUCACAUGCAUACGGUCUGCAUAAAUCUGGAAGAUACAGAUCCAUGUUAACUUAACUGCAUUCCCAGUGUGUGACUUCUGGUAGACUGUGAGUUUGGUGAUUCUCUGUCAUUUCUAGGGAUAUAAGUCUGGAAUAAAAUGAUGAUUUUGGAUAUAAUUAC